GGUAACAGGAAACAGCUUGCUGUUUCGCUGACGAGUGGCGGACGGGUGAGUAAUGUCUGGGAAACUGCCUGAUGGAGGGGGAUAACUACUGGAAACGGUAGCUAAUACCGCAUAACGUCGCAAGACCAAAGAGGGGGACCUUCGGGCCCCUUGCCAUCAGAUGUGCCCAGAUGGGAUUAGCUAGUAGGUGGGGUAACGGCUCACCUAGGCGACGAUCCCUAGCUGGUCUGAGAGGAUGACCAGCCACACUGGAACUGAGACACGGUCCAGACUCCUACGGGAGGCAGCAGUGGGGAAUAUUGCACAAUGGGCGCAAGCCUGAUGCAGCCAUGCCGCGUGUAUGAAGAAGGCCUUCGGGUUGUAAAGUACUUUCAGCGGGGAGGAAGGGAGUAAAGUUAAUACCUUUGCUCAUUGACGUUACCCGCAGAAGAAGCACCGGCUAACUCCGUGCCAGCAGCCGCGGUAAUACGGAGGGUGCAAGCGUUAAUCGGAAUUACUGGGCGUAAAGCGCACGCAGGCGGUUUGUUAAGUCAGAUGUGAAAUCCCCGGGCUCAACCUGGGAACUGCAUCUGAUACUGGCAAGCUUGAGUCUCGUAGAGGGGGGUAGAAUUCCAGGUGUAGCGGUGAAAUGCGUAGAGAUCUGGAGGAAUACCGGUGGCGAAGGCGGCCCCCUGGACGAAGACUGACGCUCAGGUGCG
rnacentral:rRNA from 1 species